GUGCGGGUGAUCGUGGGGCACUGCUCGUUCACCACCUUCAUCAACUGGGUGCCAGAGAAGACACAGAGUUACGCAGCCCACCUACUCCCGCCACCCCCAGCCCACCCGCAGUGACCACACCUCUCCCACGGCCUGGGUCUGCUCUAUGGGGAGGCUCCCCUGUUAGCCCAGUCCGUGGCCUCAGGACAAACACCCCAACCUGGCGCAUGUCCUUAUAGCUGUGGUGCCGGAAGUCCAGGUCGUCGGUGGUCAACACCUCGUUCUGUGCAUAGUAGCUGUGGACAGCUGCAGAGGGUGGGCAGGCAGGGCCUUGAGCUGGCCACCUGCCAGCCCACCGCGGGUUGCCCCAGCUUCCCAUCCAUGCCCCUGCCAGCCCCCUGCACUCACGGGACAUGGGGCACCCCAGCACCUCCAGGCGCAUGCAUAGGCUGCCGUUCCAGGUGAGUGGGUAGAUGCGGAUGAAACGGGCCACCACCGGCUCCGGGAGCUCGCUGAGCACAGGUGUGUCCUUGUCCACGUUCCCAUGGAAGGUCUGGGAAGAGGCAGGCCUCAGAGCAGCCCCCAACCCCAGCCGAGAGCCCACCUGCGGUUCAGACGAGGGGCGUAUAGAGCCGAGGGCUCAGGUGCCCACCAUUUCCUCGUAGCCGUUGGUGUACAUCACCCAUGUCUGGCUGUCAUUGCUGAAGCCCACGAAGAAGGAGGUCACGAAGUCGUCACUGGGGAGCGGAUGGUGGUCAGGGACUUUAAGAGCAGGAAGGGGCUCUGGAGGCCUGGAGUGCCAACAGGAAAUUCGGCUUUGGGACCAAUGUGUGGCCUUAGGCCAGGGUCAGGCUUCUGGGGCCUGGGAGGCCGGAAGUAAUAGUCCACUGUGGGGAGGGAGAGCCCUGAUGAGAUGGCCCACCAUGAGCCGGGGCUCCUACGUUCACAGGAGCCCAGUGGGCCGGACUGGGCACGCGGUGCACAAGGUGAGGAGGUGAGAUCAGGGUGGGCCUUAAAGAGUCCAGAUGGGCUGAGACGAGGAGGGAGGGUCCUCCUGGAGGGGGAGGCUGCUUGGGCACAGGUGGGGUGAGCGAGACCCCGAGGAAGUCACCAGCCUGGCCCCCCAGCAGGGCGUGGCCCAGAGAAAGGUGGGGAAAGGCUGGGCAGGGAGUGGGGCACGGACAUCGGACAUGCCCCGAAGGACGACUGGCACCUGUGGCAGGAAGGGGGGUCUGGAGGGCUGAGCUGGGGCCAAGGGGUUGAUGGGGACCGAGGCCAGGAGG